AUAAACAGACAAAAAUGCACAAGAAUCCUCUAGUCUGAUCUAGGAAGCUAAGCAGAGUCAGGCCUGGUUAGUACUUGGAUGGGAGACCGCCUGGGAAGGCCGGGUGCUGCAGGCU
rnacentral:rRNA from 1 species